GACGAACGCUGGCGGCGCGCUUAACACAUGCAAGUCGAACGGAAAGGCCUGCUUUCCCUUGUGGAUUGCGGGUACUCGAGUGGCGAACGGGUGAGUAACACGUGAGUGAUCUGCCCCCAACUUGGGUAUAAGCCUGGGAAACUGGGUCUAAUUCCCGAUAGGACUGCAGGGUGGUGCCUGUGGUGGAAAACGAUUUUCUAGUGGUUGGGGAUGAGCUCGCGGCCUAUCAGCUUGUUGGUGGGGUAAUGGCCUACCAAGGCGGCGACGGGUAGCCGGCCUGGGAGGGUGGACGGGCACAUUGGGACUGAGAUACGGCCCCGACUCCUACGGGCGGCAGCCGUGGGGAAUAUUGCACGAUGGGCGGAAGCCUGAUGCAGCGACGCCGCGUGGGGGAUGACGGCCUUCGGGUUGUAACCUCCUUUCGACCGCGAGGAAGCCACCUGGUUGGAAGGGUGGUGACGGUAGUGGUAGAAGAAGCACCGGCUAACUACGUG
rnacentral:rRNA from 1 species